rnacentral:rRNA from 1 species
AGAGUUUGAUCCUGGCUCAGAUUGAACGCUGGCGGCAUGCUUUACACAUGCAAGUCGAACGGCAGCAUGGGUGCUUGCACCUGAUGGCGAGUGGCGAACGGGUGAGUAAUGCAUCGGAACGUACCGAGUAGUGGGGGAUAACUGUCCGAAAGGAUGGCUAAUACCGCAUAUUCUCUGAGGAGGAAAGCAGGGGACCUUAGGGCCUUGCGCUAUUUGAGCGGCCGAUGUCUGAUUAGCUAGUUGGUGGGGUAAGAGCCCACCAAGGCGACGAUCAGUAGCGGGUCUGAGAGGAUGAUCCGCCACACUGGGACUGAGACACGGCCCAGACUCCUACGGGAGGCAGCAGUGGGGAAUUUUGGACAAUGGGCGCAAGCCUGAUCCAGCCAUGCCGCGUGUAUGAAGAAGGCCUUCGGGUUGUAAAGUACUUUUGUCAGGGAAGAAAAGCUUUAGGUUAAUACCCUAGAGUGAUGACGGUACCUGAAGAAUAAGCACCGGCUAACUACGUGCCAGCAGCCGCGGUAAUACGUAGGGUGCGAGCGUUAAUCGGAAUUACUGGGCGUAAAGCGAGCGCAGACGGUUAUUUAAGCAAGAUGUGAAAGCCCCGGGCUCAACCUGGGAACUGCGUUUUGAACUGGGUAACUAGAGUGUGUCAGAGGGGGGUAGAAUUCCACGUGUAGCAGUGAAAUGCGUAGAGAUGUGGAGGAAUACCGAUGGCGAAGGCAGCCCCCUGGGAUAACACUGACGUUCAUGCUCGAAAGCGUGGGUAGCAAACAGGAUUAGAUACCCUGGUAGUCCACGCCCUAAACGAUGUCAAUUAGCUGUUGGGGUACAUGAUGCCUUAGUAGCGUAGCUAACGCGUGAAAUUGACCGCCUGGGGAGUACGGUCGCAAGAUUAAAACUCAAAGGAAUUGACGGGGACCCGCACAAGCGGUGGAUGAUGUGGAUUAAUUCGAUGCAACGCGAAGAACCUUAC